CUCUACUAUUAUCUAGUAUUACUAUAUUUUUCCAUUAACAUAAAAAAACAUAUUCUUUCUCAUUUUUAUUGAAUAAAUAAAAGUAAUAAAUAAGCAAAAUUUUCAUUUUUAUCUAGAAUUUAAAUUGUAAAAAAAAACUUCAUAAAAGAUUAGGAAAAGUAAAAGUAUAUGAUAUAGAAACCUAUAAUAUAAAUGAAUACAAAUAAAAACAAACAAAUCGAACCAAAUUAUAAAAAGUACUUGUUAUUUUUAAAGUUUAAAGAAACUAUGUAAGGCAAAUAGUACUAAAUAAAAAAAGGAGCAAUAACGCCCUCUUGUUUUAUCAAGAGGGAAGCUAUUGCUCCUUUUUUAGUUCAAAAACUCCUAUACAAUCAGACCAAAGUC
rnacentral:misc_RNA from 3 species